UCACGUGAAUUAACGUCUGAUAUACUUGAUAUGAUUGUUCGGGGGCGGCACAGUGAAGCAGGGAUUCGUCGUUUCCUCUGGGAUCUGAGUCUCAGACUCUGCCCCGGCUCCACAUGUGAGACGUUUGCAUGUUCUCCCCUUGUCGCCGUGGGGUUUCCUCUGGGCUUUCCAGUUUGCUCCUACAGUCCAAAACCAUGCUAAGGUUGCAAAGGUUGUUUUUUUAUCCUUUGGAACACAAAAAGAUGAGAACUAACCAUUCUGGGACUGAAAAUAUACAUUAUUGCUUUGAAUCCUCAAACACUUCCUGCCUAAAGCACAUUUAUCCAACCACAAUACGAGCCCCUUUGUAUGUUCUGUUAGGGGCCACCGUGCUCCUCACUGUGCUUGGAAAUCUCCUCGUCAUCGUUACUAUAUCCCACUCCAAACAGCUGCACACUCCCACCAAUUACCUCAUCCUCUCCCUGGCUGUCAGCGACUUCCUCCUGGGGGCAGUGGUCAUGCCGCCUAGCCUGAUACGCUCCCUGGAAACCUGCUGGUAUUUGGGUGACUGGUUCUGUAAGAUCCACACCAGUAUAGAAACUUUACUCACUACAGCAUCUGUUUUUAUGCUUUAUUUGAUUUCUGUUGAGCGAUACGUUGCUGUUUCUCAGCCUCUGUUGUAUCACGCUUUGAUCACUAACUGUGUUGCCAAGUACAUGAUCCUGACCUGCUGGGUUCUUUCUGCCCUUGCCACCUUUGGGUUGGAGCUAAACAGCUUGACAAUUCAGGAUGUUUACCUCACACAGUUUGUCUGUGAGGGAAGGUGUGCUGUGUUACUAGACAAGGCAUCAAGCAUAUUAUUUUCCCUUUUUGUUUUCUUCAUCCCAGGGUUAUUUAUGCUUGGCCUCUACCUGAAAAUCCUAGUUAUUGCACAUAAACAAGCCCGUUCAAUUCAGGUCACAAUUCUUAUUGCUGAGAACCGUGAAAAGACCACAAUCAUUCUGUCUAAGAUGGAGCAAAAAUCCACCAGGACACUGGGCAUAGUUACUGCUGUGUUCCUGUCCUGCUGGUCGCCCUGUUUUAUAUGCAUAAUAAUAGACCCAGUCACUGGUUUAUCCACACCAUACCUGUAUGAGAUUUUUGUAUGGAUGUGCUAUUUAAAUUCAGGAAUGAAUCCCAUCAUUUAUUCUUUCUUAUUUAAAUGGUUUAGGGAGUCACUGAGAAAAGCCUUUAGUAAAAUAUUAAACAGUUUUGAUUAAUGUUACUAUGGAGGGUCCAGGUUAAAUGCUGGUAAAUGUACAGUGUGACUGAGGUUUCUGUCUUUUCUCCUCAUUUCCCACAUCGAUGUUACUGCUCCUCUGAUACUGACUCCUGUGUCUGUAAUUAUCAUCACUGACUGUCUGCCUUUCAUGUCAGGGCAUAAGCAC